rnacentral:rRNA from 1 species
UACGAAGGGGGCUAGCGUUGUUCGGAAUCACUGGGCGUAAAGGGCGCGUAGGCGGCUGUUCAAGUCGGGGGUGAAAUCCCGUGGCUCAACCACGGAAUGGCCUUCGAUACUGGACGGCUAGAGACCGGAAGAGGUGAGUGGAACUGCGAGUGUAGAGGUGAAAUUCGUAGAUAUUCGCAAGAACACCAGUGGCGAAGGCGGCUCACUGGUCCGGUUCUGACGCUGAGGCGCGAAAGCGUGGGGAGCAAACAGGAUUAGAUACCCUGGUAGUCCACGCCGUAAACGAUGGAUGCCAGCCGUUGGCGAGCUUGCUCGUCAGUGGCGCAGCUAACGCUAUGAGCAUCCCGCCUGGGGAGUACGGUCGCAAGAUUAAA